AGCUCCAAUAGCGUAUAUUAAAGUUGUUGCAGUUAAAAAGCUCGUAGUUGGAUUUCGGGAUGGGCCAGUUGGUCCGCCGCAAGGUGUGUUACUGACUGGUCUGUUCUUCUUCGCAAAGACUGCGUGUGCUCUUCGUUGAGUGUGCGUAGGAUUUACGACGUUUACUUUGAAAAAAUUAGAGUGUUCAAGGCAGGCUUUGAGGCUUGAAUACAUGAGCAUGGAAUAAUGGAAUAGGACCUCGGUCCCUAUUUCGUUGGUUUUACGGACCGAAGUAAUGAUUAAGAGGGACAAUUGGGGGCAUCCGUAUUUCGUAGUCAGAGGUGAAAUUCUUGGACCUACGAAAGACGAACAACUGCGAAAGCAUUUGCCAAGAGUGUUUUCAUUAAUCAAGAACGAAAGU
rnacentral:rRNA from 1 species